rnacentral:rRNA from 1 species
UACAGAGGCCCCAAGCGUUACUGAGAAUCACUGGGUUUAAAGGGUGCGUAGGUGGCGCGUUAAGUCCGUUGUGAAAUCCCUGGGCUCAACCCAGGAAUUGCUUCGGAUACUGGCGUGCUUGAGGCCGGUAGGGGUCACUGGAACUGACGGUGGAGCGGUGAAAUGCGUAGAUAUCGUCAGGAACGCCGAUGGUGAAGACAGGUGACUGGGCCGGAACUGACACUGAGGCACGGAAAGCGAUGG